rnacentral:rRNA from 1 species
GAUGAACGCUGACAGAAUGCUUAACACAUGCAAGUCUUUGGCGAAGCUGUGCUUGCACAGCCUAGCCAAGGCGGACGGGUGAGUAACGCGUAAGGAACUUGCCCUGCAGUCAGGGAUAACAGACGGAAACGACUGAUAAGACCUGGUAAAGUCAGGCGGACUCAUGUCCAGCCUGAUGAAAAGAGAUGCUGCAGGAGAGCCUUGCGUCCUAUUAGCUUGUUGGUGGGGUAACGGCCCACCAAGGCGAUGAUAGGUAGCCGGCCUGAGAGGGUGGACGGCCACAAGGGGACUGAGAUACGGGCCUUACUCCUACGGGAGGCAGCAGUGGGGAAUAUUGGACAAUGGGGGCAACCCUGAUCCAGCAAUUCUGUGUGCACGAUGAAGGUUUUCGGAUUGUAAAGUGCUUUCAGCAGGGAAGAAAAAAUGACGGUACCUGCAGAAGAAGCGACGGCUAAAUACGUG